GUGUCCGCUGGCGCCCUCUGCUGGCCAGGAGGAGUCACUGCGGCCUCGCUGAGGCAUGGGCCGGGUCUGGAGCCAAGUAGGGUAGACACAAUGGUGAUAAUAAUAUUAAUAAUAGACAGUAUUUAUUGAGCGCUUAUAUAUGCAAAGCGUUUCACAUGGGUUACCUUCCCCUUCUGUUUAAAACUCUUCAAGGGCUUUCCACUGCUUUGAGUAUAAUUCCAAAUUCCUCACCGUGCCGUAAAAAGUGCUCCAUAGUCUAGCCCAGUCUACCUCAUUCUUCGUCGUCCUCACUCAGCCACACUGGAUUUUGAGUUUUCUGAACACAGCAAGCUCCUUUCUGACUCCUGCAGGACCUUUGCCCUUGCUCUUCUCUCUUUAUCUUUGGGCCAGCUAAUUUGGGGGGGCUUGGGGUGUCCUGUGCACUGUAGGAUACUGGGCGGCGUUCCUAGCCUAUACCCACUAGAUACAAGAACAAACCCCCCAAUUCCCAUUGCUGGCAACCAAAAAUCCCCAGACAUUGCCAAAAGUGGAGGGAACUUUAGGGCGGUGCAGUCACCUGGCUUGAGAACUGCUGCGUGUGGAAACCCGGAUCAUCCAUAGCUGACAUCCUCUAAGUCAGGUGGGGCUCAGAUGUCACCUCCCCCGCCAGACUGUCCCAGAUCAGCCGAGUUAAUGUUGCAGCUCACCUUUCUCGAAGUUGCUCUCCAUCAAAUUGCUGCGUUGUAUUUUCGUCUCAGUUCUAGCUAUUUGAAAUACUGCAUCUUAUUUCGUGUUUACCAUGGGUGAUCUGGACUCUCCCUUUAGGCGCUAAACAGCCUGGCCCCCGUAUUUUCUGUGCCACUCCACCCCAUUCCCCUCGCAGAGCUGGAGACUAGGUGUUCAAUGUUGACGGAAUGAAUACAUGAAAUCGUUCAUGUAAUCUUCACAACAACCCUUCGAGGAGUACAGGGAGACCCAGAGAGCUGAAGUUCUCAAAUCACUGGGCUGUUGAAUGGAUUAGAAUCUACGUUUCCUAACAGCCAAGACCAACCUCCACAUCUCUCAUGAAAGGGAUUGGGUGAAUCAACAAAGUGAGACUUCAUAUUAAUAUAAUACUACUAAUAAUAAUUAAUGUUUUUAAUAUUAAAAGAAAUGGACAGAUA